UGUGUUGGUGCCCCAGAGCUGGAUGCAGCAUUCCAGUCUUAAGAGGCCAGCACUGGCUGAACCUGUGGGCAGGAAACAUUCCCCUUCCAGGUAACCUGGGAAAACAGUCCUGCUGUUGUUGCUGCAUCUAAGAGAGAUAAGGGGGAAAGAACAGGCACCAGCUUCUUGCACGUGCACACGUGGUGAAGCUGGAAUGUUCCGUGUUAACCCGGCUGCGCCGAAAAGCUGGAAACUUCAGCUCGGGACCGAAGCGCUUUGUCAGCUGGAGGGCCCUUUCAGAGGAAUUCUCUAAGCUGUGCAGCACGACGGAUAAACCGAAAUGACAGACGUGGGGCCGGGGGAGCGCUGGCUGUGCCUUUCCCGGAGCGGCGGAGCGGCUCGGCUCUUGCGUAAGCCUGCGCGCGCUGCCAGCCCCUCGGGUUGUCUGAAGGGAGCCCUUCAUGUGACCCUCAGCCAUCCCAAACGGACCGAUGUUAACGUGAGGCAUAAAACCCACUCGUUAUGUAACCGGUUUCUCCCGGCCAAGUGUUUCCUGCUGCAGUAAACAA